AGUUAAGGGACUAGGACUUUAUUCUGCAGGCAGUAGGCAGCUGCCAGAGGUGUCUGAGGAGGGGAAGGACACAGAAAAGAAACAAUCACAUCAGUAAGGUGUGGACCCCAAUCACCUCCCACCCAGCCCCUCCUCCAACACUGGGGAUUACAAUUCAACAUGAGAUUUGGGCAGGGACACAAAUCCGGACCAUAUCAGGAAGCUUGGAAUGAAUGCUCAAAGUAGCCACUUGGGUGAAGAAUGACACCCCAGGGAACUUCUCAAGUAAUAGCUUGGUCAUUCACCACCUCCCUAGAUUGGUGAUGGCUAAUAAUGAGUCAGAUAUGCAAGUUUGGGGCAGAGCUGAAUUCCUUAGCAUGGUAGUCCAAGGGCUUCUACCAGAGCACCUUCCCUACCCCUCACCCCAAUGCCUUCUCUGAGUCACACAAAUAUUAAA
rnacentral:lncRNA from 1 species